rnacentral:tRNA from 1 species
GGCAGCAUGGCCUAGGGUACAGAGCACUGGACUGGAACUCAGGAGACCUGGAUUUUAUUCCCAGCUCUGCCA